rnacentral:lncRNA from 10 species
UUUUUUUUUUUUUUUUUUUUAGUAGAGAAGGGGUUUCACCACGUUAACCAGGAUAGUCUCAAUCUCCUGACCUCCUGAUCCACACCCCCUCAGCCUCCCAAAGUGCUGGGAUUACAGGCAUGAGUCACCCUGCCUGGCCAAAUUUUGCCUUUUUUAAGGAGGUGUGAGGAUAUAGUUAGUUGCUGUUACUCCAUCACAUUCAGAUAUGAACAUGUCUGAGUUGUGACUGUCAAUACUAAUCCUACUACAGUAGGUACUAGGGGCAGAAUGGUGGAGACAGCUCCAGUGUUAUUCUUACCUGUGCCCCUUGAAGGUUCUAUUUCCAAGUGUCUUCCUUCUGUGGACACUUAAAUUUUUCCACAUCAUUGGUCUGGCUGUGUCUCUUCAGGCCCUCUUUCCUGGUUUCUACUUCUUACUGCCAACUCAUC